rnacentral:rRNA from 1 species
AUUGAACGCUGGCGGCAGGCUUAACACAUGCAAGUCGAGCGGGGUGAUGGUGCUUGCACUAUCACUUAGCGGCGGACGGGUGAGUAAUGCUUAGGAAUCUGCCUAUUAGUGGGGGACAACAUCUCGAAAGGGAUGCUAAUACCGCAUACGUCCUACGGGAGAAAGCAGGGGAUCACUUGUGACCUUGCGCUAAUAGAUGAGCCUAAGUCGGAUUAGCUAGUUGGUGGGGUAAAGGCCUACCAAGGCGACGAUCUGUAGCGGGUCUGAGAGGAUGUUCCGCCACACUGGGACUGAGACACGGCCCAGACUCCUACGGGAGGCAGCAGUGGGGAAUAUUGGACAAUGGGGUGAACCCUGAUCCAGCCAUGCCGCGUGUGUGAAGAAGGCCUUAUGGUUGUAAAGCACUUUAAGCGAGGAGGAGGCUCUUUUGGUUAAUACCCAAGAUGAGUGGACGUUACUCGCAGAAUAAGCACCGGCUAACUCUGUGCCAGCCGCCGCUGUAA